AUUGAACGCUGGCGGCAGGCCUAACACAUGCAAGUCGAGCGGCAGCGGGAAAGUAGCUUGCUACUUUUGCCGGCGAGCGGCGGACGGGUGAGUAAUGCCUGGGAAAUUGCCCAGUCGAGGGGGAUAACAGUUGGAAACGACUGCUAAUACAGCAUACGCCCUACGUGGGAACGCAGGGGACCUUCGGGCCCUGCGCGUAUGGAUAUGCCCAGGUGGGAUUAGCUAGUUGGUGAGGUAAUGGCUCACCAAAGCGACGAUCCCUAGCUGGUCUGAGAGGAUGAUCAGCCACACUGGAACUGAGACACGGUCCAGACUCCUACGGGAGGCAGCAGUGGGGAAUAUUGCACAAUGGGGGAAACCCUGAUGCAGCCAUGCCGCGUGUGUGAAGAAGGCCUUCGGGUUGUAAAGCACUUUCAGCGAGGAGGAAAGGUCAGUAGCUAAUAUCUACUGGCUGUGACGUUACUCGCAGAAGAAGCACCGGCUAACUCCGUGCCAGCCGCCGCGGUAACAC
rnacentral:rRNA from 1 species